UCUUUUUUUAGUUUUCUUUAGUUUUAUUCUGCCUGUUUUUAAGGGUUUUUUUAGUUUUUUUUCAGUUUUUUUGUUAUUUAUAUAUAUAUAUAGGUUGUUCUUUUCUGAAAUACUUUUCCUUCUGUUUUUUUUUUAUUUUGUUUAUACCAUCCUUUCUAUCCUUUAUUUCUUUAGUUUUUUUCUGCCUGUUUUAAGUUUUUUUUUUUUUUUUUUUUUUUUUUUUCUAUAUAUUUGGGGUGUUUUUUCUGAUAUACUUUUCUUUCUGUUUUUUCAAUUUUGUUUAUACUAUCCUUUCUCUUUUUUUAGUUUUCUCUAGUUUUUUUUCUGCCUGUUUUAAGUUUUUUUAUUAGUU